UGAUGAUGAGUAAUAGCAAUGACUUGUUAAAUAUGGACACGUCCGAUUCAACACCAAGGUUGCAUACAGACUCAAGUUGUUCGGAGCAGGUGCUGUCACCUGAGCUCACUUGCGAGAGGGAGGUUCAGAGCCAGCCAAAAUCAUGGAAUGAUCAGCUAGAUAGUGCAUUUGAUUUCAACUUCAAUUACAUUGAUGAUGGCUUCCAAGACGACCCUUUUGCCUCACAAGUUCAGUUCCAAAUGGACCAGCUCUCACCUCUGCAGGACAUGUUCAUGUAUUUACAGAGGCCGCUUUGAUUUUUUAUCACCAGAAAAAGAAGAAGAAAAAAAGACCUACAUAUUAAUU
rnacentral:lncRNA from 1 species